GCCCCUCUAGCUCAAUGGCAGAGCAGCGUCCUUUUAAGUCGUGGGUUCUCGGUUCGAGUCCGAGGGGGGGCACCG
rnacentral:tRNA from 1 species